UGGAGGCAGCAGUGAGGAAUUUUGCACAAUGGGGGAAACCCUGAUGCAGCAACGCCGCGUGGAGGAUGAAGUCCCUUGGGAUGUAAACUCCUUUCGACCGGGACGAUUAUGACGGUACCGGUGGAAGAAGCCCCGGCUAACUCUGUGCCAGCAGCCGCGGUAAUACAGAGGGGGCAAGCGUUGUUCGGAAUUAUUGGGCGUAAAGGGUGCGUAGGCGGUGCGGUAAGUCUUCUGUGAAAUCUCCGGGCUCAACUCGGAGCCUGCAGGAGAAACUGCCGUGCUUGAGUAUGGGAGAGGUGAGUGGAAUUCCUGGUGUAGCGGUGAAAUGCGUAGAUAUCAGGAGGAACACCUGUGGCGAAAGCGGCUCACUGGACCAUAACUGACGCUGAGGCACGAAAGCUAGGGGAGCAAACAGGAUUAGAUACCCUGGUAGC
rnacentral:rRNA from 1 species